AGCAGCCGCGGUAAAUUCCAGCUCCAAUAGCGUAUAUUUAAGUUGUUGCAGUUAAAAAACUCGUAGUUGAAUUUCGAGAUCGGCUUACUGGUCGUGCUAUUGUACGUACUGGUAUAAUGGUUUCUCCUUUCUGACGAACUAUAAUGCCAUUAAUUUGGUGUUUUAGGGAAUCAGGACGUUACUUUGAAAAAAUUAGAGUGUUUAAAGCAGGCUCACGCUUGAAUACAUUAGCAUGGAUAACGGAAUAGGACGUUUGAUUCUAUUUUGUUGGUUUCU
rnacentral:rRNA from 1 species